CCACUGCAGUCCUUAGCUUCUUUUUAGAUAUCGAUUUGCAAGCAUAUUUUUCUCCUCCUUCCAAGUCAGUACAUAGAUAAGUAACCCCAAAUUCUCCUCUUCCGAGCUCAUGCCCCAAAUCAUACUUAUCAUGUAUAUUUUGCCCUGUUGGUUCUUUUAAUACAACUAGCUUGUUUCCACUCCCAGAGGCAUGUUUAGUCCCCCCAUAAUCAAUUGAAAAAGGGUUAGGUUUGCUGUUGUUCUUUUUAUUCUUUUUUUCGGCAGAUUUACCCGGUUUCACACAGCAAUUACCCAUGAUACUUUAUAAGAUCAACCAACUCCUGAAAAUUGUUG
rnacentral:misc_RNA from 1 species